GGGUCUUGAAAUACUUAGGGUUAAUCAUCAUUAGGUUUGAAUAGUACUGGAUUAGGUGACUUCAUGGGAAAUUCAAACUCAAGAGCUU
rnacentral:rRNA from 1 species